rnacentral:tmRNA from 1 species
GGGCUUGUACUGGUUUCGACGGGGAUUUUGAAGUUGAGGAAGCCAUUCGUGGGGCGGGGCCACGCAGUAAACCGUAAACUUAAAUAUAAACGCAGACAAUAAAUUAGCGUUAGCUGCCUAAUUGCAGCUUGUCGCCUUUGAAUCAUCCGCUGUUCAAGGAUCCGGCAUCAAACCUGCGGAGCACUUUAUAGCCAAAGCUUUGCGGCUGUAAAAGAUUUAUGAAGCUACUAAAGUUCUAGCCUGUCGUUUGGCGUGGAAUGGAGGGAAUGUCCGUAAAACGACUGUAAUGGGAUAUGCUUCAAUGGAAGGGUUUUCGGACAGGGGUUCGACUCCCCUCAGGUCCACU